CCUACGGGAGGCUGCAGUGGGGGAUAUUGCACAAUGGGGGAAACCCUGAUGCAGCGACGCCGCGUGAGUGAAGAAGUAUUUCGGUAUGUAAAGCUCUAUCAGCAGGGAAGAAAAUGACGGUACCUGACCAAGAAGCCCCGGCUAACUACGUGCCAUCAGCCGCGGUAAUACGUAGGGGGCAAGCGUUAUCCGGAUUUACUGGUGGUAAAGGGAGCGUAGACGGCAGAGCAAGUCUGAAGUUAAAGCCCGCGGCUCAACGCGGGGACUGAUGUGGAAACUGCCAGGCUAGAGUGUUGGAGAGGUAAGCGGAAUUCCUAGUGUAGCGGUGAAAUGCGUAGAUAUUAGGAGGAACACCAGUGGCGAAGGCGGCUUACUGGACAGUAACUGACGUUGAGGCUCGAAAGCGUGGGGAGCAAACAGGAUUAGAUACCCUUGUAGUC
rnacentral:rRNA from 1 species